GUACAAAUUCCGCUGAGCAAAAGAAUAAGAGUUGCUGAACAGCAGCCAAGAGACUAACCCAGCAACAGCUGACAUGGAUACACGUCUUGUCUCCACAUUUGAAGGUGAAGAGAAACCCAAGUUGCCAGAGCUCAGAGGUAGGACAGCUGUAAAGCCUCCUGCUUCAGUUAAUGAAGUGUGUGGUGCUCCCAGCUUUGAGAAGAACAUCCAUCCAGAAUUUGAGCCCUGCAGUGCUCCAGGAUUUGAGGACUGCAUUCCACCACAUUUUGAUUAUCCCACACCCCUAGAGUUUGACUGUGCUCCUGCAGAGUUUGAUGACUGCAGUCUCCUAGGGUCUGACAACUUGAACAAUGAAGGCUAUGCUAUUACACCACGUCUGCAAGAUGCAAAGUCUCCUGCAAAUGCAGUGCAGGAGUUCAUUCCAUUCAGUAUGUUUCGUUCAGAAGGGGAUACACAGAGGACAAGUUUGGACAUUCAGACUAUUAGAUUUGCCAGAAAACGUGUUGGCAGGAUUGGGAUGAGAUUUGGAUUCUUUCCUUCUCUCUCAUCUGGCUUUGAGCUAACCUUGUAAUUCUGCUGUUGCUCAGAGAAACCUGAUUUUUUGCUUGCUUUGAAGAAUUGGCUGAAAGUCUGAAGAGAAAUCUCUCUGGAGAUUAGUUUGUUUUCCAGGGACAAUUCCUUUCUCUACCCUUUGUGUUUCUGAAGGUCUUCCAGGUGGACCCAUUUGGAAUCCCUUGGAAAACAGACAUAAUUAACCAUGAGAAGAGUUCGGUCACUGCAUCUUUACUUACGAUAAAAGGUGUCACUUUUGUACCUAUCUUGUGUGGUCCACACACUUGUGUGAAUGGAUGAGGAAGAGGGUGAACACCUUGACAGACUGAUGGACAUGAGCAGUUUGCCUAAGCCUUCAGAUAAUACAUACCAUCAAGAAAGCUGCAGUUUAGGCAUGAUUUUGAUGCUGGCCAUUGAGGUAGAGUCAGUUCAAACCAUAGAAGGGAAGUGUACUCUACCGAAGAUGAUGCAGCAGUUUUUGACGAGGAACUGCAAUCAGGAUAACUGCCUGUCUUUAAAACCCUUACCCCUCCAACUGUGCUCAGAAAGGAGAGGUUAGAUAUUUUUUGGAGGGGAUCACCUGCUAGCUCACAUUCAGGCUUAUCACAGCAAAUACUUGGUUUGAAGGCAAAACUCUUCAGUCCGCAGUGUGAGUUUAUGAGUAUUCAUGGUGUAAAAUUGAACUCCUAAUGGGUACUUGUUGGGAAAGAUGAAGAAGCUGCUUCAGCUGUUUACUAGCCAGAAUCCACUGAAUAGAGCCUUAGACUCACUGAGAAGCAUCAUGAUUUGGUGACAGUGAAUGACAUUUCUGGAGAUGCCCAGUCUGACAUCUUCUUUGGAAAAAUUAUGAUCUGAUGAUGACAAAGUGUCUGAAACCAGAGCAAGAAAGCUAAAAUGCUACUAAAAUUUUGAGUCAGAGGAUGGAUGGAUGAAGAUCUUAUUCCAAAUGGGCAGUGCGCUUGGAGCUUCCUCCUGCCUGCAGGGGGAAAGCUCAGUCACACUGGCAAAGUCCUGACUGCUUUUUCAGCAAGGCUUCAGUUUGCAGUGUGGCCAACAGGGGCUGUGCCAUCUGCGACAUGAGCUGGAUGGCUUUGUGCUGCAAAGAAACGUGCAGGUAUCUGCUGUUAAGCUACAGCAGUACAAGUACAGCAGAUGUGAGCAUGCAGCUCUGGUGAGGGAAGGAGCAACUGUGGCUGUGGACCUGAGAGCUGAAAUUUCCCAGCUUCCAUGUGUCACUACCAUUCCUUCUGAAACACUGGUUUUAUGUGCUCUUCUUAAAUGGUUUUCUAUGCAGAUGUAGUUCUACACAAGAUAACUAGAGCAAUGUCCUUGAAGAUACCCCAUUUUGUCUAGUUGAGGUACUUGCUAUAGCUUCCAGAUGUGUUGCUUAUCACUGAUAAAUGUCCUUUCUAACCACCAGGCUUCUAUAAUAACAGCAACAUCCUCUAAAUGGGGGCUGAAGUCCCAAACAGUAACCAAUCAUUGGAAACUAAGUGGAGACCAAGUGCCCUUAGAAAACCUGUGUCCUCGCAUGGACAGCGUGAGGAGGACACCUCCCCAGAUGACCACCGACCCCUGCACAAGCACAGAAGAUUCGGAUACGUUUGCAUAACCUUGUAAUUGCAGUAAUCUCAUGAAUAUGUAAUAGAUAGAUGCCUUAUGUAGUGGAUAGGUGUGUACUGAGAACUGCUGGGUUAUAAAUAGUGGAGAGUGCGAUGACUCAGAUCCACUUGAUUUGUGGAGAUUACUCACCUUGAGUGCUGUGCAGAAAUAAAGCAAUGUUUCCUCUCUAAUCACUUGUCUUUUCAAUGUGUUUCAGGACAUUUUGAAAUCGACAUCACCACCACCGUUCCUUCUUACGUGCUUUUCUUAAGCGGUUGUGACAUGCCCAGCACUGCCUGGAGUGUGGUGAUGAGUACCAUAUCACCACAAGACUUCAAGGCCUAAGGUUUGUGGUUCUGCGGCUAACAAAUCAACUGAUGGAUGGGAAAUCGGGGAAUCUCAAACAGUAUGAUACUACCACUGGUGCACCAGUGUGGUAGUGAUCAGUGCCUGCUGUUCUUCAGCUCUUAGCAAUCCCCCAUCAGAAAGGUCUUUUGAGAGGAUGGGCGAGGUAGACAGUUGCCUGAUGUUCUCCAUCUCCAAGGCACCUAUACAAAAAACCUAUUGGUAUUCUUUGAGUCCUUGAAGUACCCUUUCCUGAGGUAAUCUACACCAAGGAUGUGCAGAGCCUCUGGACCAGUCGCAAUGGGGUGUUUUUGCUACUCAUUCUCAGUCAGGCUCAAUUCAGACUCCACUAAAAUUAGCUCCUGGGAUCCCCCUGUCACUCCGGAGGUACAGACAGGUUCUGACCCUUCAUAACUUUAUGGCACUAGGCUCUUAUACUCCUGUGGUUCUGAUGUGCCAAGCCAUUGAAUCCGCACAGCCCAAUAAACCCGAUUGUCCCUUUCCUCCACCUGACUGGAGGCAGGGCCCUUCUAGUUCUGGUUAUUCUAUUCAUCAGUCAUGAAUGCAAACCACAAGGCUGGUUAUCAAACUCAGAAAUAAGGUCAGACCACCUACUCUGUUUGAAGAACUGCCCACUGGAGACUGGAGUGGUCAUUUUCCAGGAAGAACUCUCUUUUGUGAUGGCUUUCCCUCGCAACUCACAUAUCCAUACCUCUAGGCUUCAAGUGAGUUUUCCAUCCCAUUUCCUCAUAUCCUCUCCAUGGCCAUGCAGGUAAGACCACCGGUUAGCACGUGGUGUAUACCCAAUAUAUCUUCUGUCUUGAAUUAAAAAAUGCUUACUUCUGGUAUCUGAGAUGCUAGUCCAUGCAGAUAGGACAGAAGAUUUAUUCCCUUUGAGUUGUUGGGCCACUUCGGAAUGCUUCUCCACAGCUGAAACACAGGCCCUUAGAGAGAAGGAGAGAGAUAUUUUGCUGGAGUUCAUCAGCGAAUUUAUCCACCAUUUGUUCCUCUCCCUCUUUCCAGGUCAUUUCUGGCAGUGAGUUGGCAUACAGAGAUGGUGAACUCCGUACAAACUUACGCCACAUGGAUUGUGGAAUAACACAUCUCAAUUUUGGAAUAAUCAGAAGUUCAGGCCAAUAUUAUGCACCAUCUCCAGCACAGCCAAUUCCCUCAGAUACUGGAUACCUCUUUCCAUGGUGGUCCACUUGCCUGGUUGACAUAAUAUUGUCCCUAGAGGAACUGCAGCAACCUGGCUCCCAUGCUCACUGAAUCCAGACUAUCAACACCACAUCCCAGCAUUGAAGCGGCUGGGUGACAGCGUGCUCACCUGGAUGAUCGCUGAAAUCUUUCCACAUAUCUUGCACAGGUAUCAGGCAUCAGUUUCAGAAAUGGCCAGCCUGUUCUGAGGGAGGUUCCAGGGAACUACAGUCAAGGCAGCUUCACCUCAAACUCUGGGAAUGAUCUGCAGACAUGUGAAGGAAAAGAAAGUGAUGAUAUAAACCUAUGAAGUGUGGCCUAGGUAAGUGGAUUGAACACUCUGAUGUGGACUGAACGCUGACUGAACUGCUGGGCUCAGAGGACUAGAGGUACACAAUCCAGUGGCUAGCCAGUCCCUAGUAGUAUAGCCCAGGGCUUGAUACUGACCCUAAUACUGCUUAACUUCUUCAUCACUGACACAGAUGCCGUGACAGAGUAUUUAUCACCUGCAAACUUGCAGAGAUAGCACAAGACUGGGAGGUGUGGCUGCCACACGAGGAGAGGGGCUUUGGCAGGCUGGAGAAAGUUUCACAAAGCGGCAUGAAAUUUAACAAAUGGAAUUGUGGAACCUGGGAAGGAAUAACCUCACAUGCCAGUAUGCAUAGGGGACCGAGUGACUGGAAGGAAGUUUUGCUGAGAAGAACCUGGUUGUCCUGGUGGACACCAAGUUUAAUGUGAGCCAGCAACAGGCUCUUGUCACAUCAAAGGUCAACAGUACCCUCUUCAAAAUGGUUUAUUGUUCCUUGUGCAAGAGGAAGUAAAACCGUAACUGUCAAAGCCUACUAAGUAUGUAAAUGGAGGGAAAGCCUUGAAAAGAGAAGUACUCUGAAUCUGUGACGAUGCAUGCAAAUAUCAUCUUAUUCAGUGAUUGUAUGACCAUUUUAAACCGUAACCUGGAGGCACGUGUUUAAAUCCAUAAGCAUUCCAAAGAAAAAAGAAAAAUAACAGUCCUUUAGAACACAUGUAGGCUUUCCCUCUUCUACGUAGUUUGUAUAUUGCACGUAUUUGCCCACUUCUACGUGUAAUUAUUAUAAAAGUCUUCAAAAUCAAAACUUUUUUGACAAAUCAAGUAAAGUAACUAAAAUAAUGUGUCUUUGCAGUGCAGGUGAAGGUGCCUCUGCUUUGAUUUCAGUAUUACUCUUACCUUUCCAUAUACAGCCUUUGUGAACUUUCCACAGCCAGCCCUCAUUACUUAGAGUUGCAGACGUUCUCAGCACAGAUGUCUUGUACACUGUUAUCAUGAUUUGCAGUAGAUUUCCCAGAAGCUGAAGAGGUUGCUCACACACUGCUAUAGCCACAAAGCUUCAGAAUACGAUUGUCACCCGAUCUUUUUACUCCUUACCUGAGUGGUUUUCCGUUUGGUGUCUCCAUACUACAGUGUUUGAAUGCACUCAGUGCCAGAAACAUGAACCUCUUCAGCCAAAGGAACCACAGAAACCCCACUGUUCACCCCUAUUGCCCCAAAUCUGGUUUCAUGAAAUGACUGCAUAUCUAAAGUUGCAGCCCACAUUUCUUGACCAUGCAAUUGGUUCACAGACGUAUGCUGCAGUUUUAAAGCAGUGUCUAUGCUUCUGCUUCUGCUUAUUCUCAGUUGCUGGGUCAGUCUGAGACUUCUGAAAUUGUGUCAAUCAUUCGGUUUUAGAGAAGGGGACUGUGGUUAAAUGGUAUCGAGUGGUGGAUUUCAAAGCAUGCCACGUGUGGAUUGGGUAGAGAUGUUCAGCAUCAGCAGAGGUUAGAUGAGAGAGGGGAACAGGAUGGAGCAGCAGGAAGAUACAAUUUGGAGAGUUGUGGUCUGGAAGAAAUUGCAUUCCUCUGAUGCCUUUACUUUAAAUAUUGCAUGGCUAUGCUCAGGAAGUCCUACAUGAAGAAAUAUUGUAGCAGAGGUGUCUUCCUGGAAAAAUAAAUCCCCUGGGAAAGACAUCCCUCAGAAGUCCAUUCUUUUUAUCUCCAGGUAAGCUAUGUUGCAUGUGUAUUCAAAGGCAGAAUGGAUGUUAAUGCUUGUAGAGCAACUUUGCCUGUAGUAAAGCAGUGUUUCCAAAUCAGAGAACAUAAACAGAAGGAGCAACAUGAGAUGCAUGUAUAACUGUAGCUAUACAAAAAUAAAUGUAAGCCAAAUUUACAGAAGUCAUAGAAGUAUGUAUCUCAAGGCUGAAUGCAAUUAAGUGUAAGGAAGAUGAUUAAUUUUACCCUCAAAUCUUCUGAACUUUGAGCAAAUAUAUAUAUCUUCAUGUAGACGUGCAACAUUUAAAUCUUUAGUAAUGAAGUAUUUUAUGUCUUCUGAACCCUUAAAAUUAGUUCAGAAUUAAUCGGCUUAUGGUCAAGACUUUCCUCUUCGGUUUGUAAAGUGCUGUAAUUGCAGGCAUUACAGACCACUUGGCUUCAGUUGCAGACAGAAGCUGCAGCCUGUCUUUCAGCUCAGACUGACCAUCAGAACUCAGUUCUUCUAAUUUGUCUCACUUCCUCAUGCUGCAUUCACUGUUGUGCUGCUCAGUGCUGUUGUACAGGACAUGCAGAAACUCAGAAGCAAAUUCUGCCUGCAGACUCUGUG
ensembl:lncRNA